CCUUGGAAUAACUUAUUUCCAGAAUAUUCUCCAGCCUUCCGCAUCAGUAGCUGUGACUUCAGGGAUCUGCACCCCACAGGAAGCUGUGCGCGACCUUCCCUUGAUGAUCUCUGAAGCAUCACAUACACGCCUUCCGCCACGCCUUCUGUCAGGUCAUUGUGUUAUGGCUCGGCCAUGUGUGGGGCAGGGAGCCGGCUGAAGGGGAGUGUUCGGGAUGAGCUGACAUGCUUCCCCCACAGCGCGCCUCUGCAUUUUUCCAUGGUGACUACAAGAUGGAUCUGGGGACUUGAGUGGCCUUCAGGGAUAACACGUGAAUAUGUGGGCCACGGAGAAACAGCUGCGCCAUUUUGCUUCUAGUGGACCGGAGAAAGCGGAGCGCGUACG